rnacentral:rRNA from 1 species
GUCGAACGAAGUAGCAAUACUUAGUGGCAGACGGGUGAGUAACAUGUGGGUAUCUUCCCUUUGGUGAGGAAUAACACGAGGAAACUUGUGCUAAUACCUCAUAAGUCUUUACGGAGAAAGCUUUAUGCGCCAAUGGAUGAGCCUGCACUUGAUUAGUUUGUUGGUGGGGUAAUGGCCUACCAAGUCUACGAUCUAUAGCUGAUUUGAGAGGAUGAUCAGCAACACUGGGACUGAGACACGGCCCAAACUCCUACGGGAGGCAGCAGUGGGGAAUCUUGCACAAUGGGGGAAACCCUGAUGCAGCGAUGCCGCGUGAGUGAAGAAGGCCUUUGGGUUGUAAAGCUCUUUCGUCGGGGAAGAAAAUGACUGUACCCGAAUAAGAAGGUCCGGCUAACUUCGUGCCAGCAGCCGCGGUAAUACGAAGGGACCUAGCGUAGUUCGGAAUUACUGGGCUUAAAGAGCUCGUAGGUGGUUAAAAAAGUUGAUGGUGAAAUCCCAAGGCUCAACCUUGGAACUGCCAUCAAAACUUUUUAGCUAGAGUGUGAUAGAGGUAAGUGGAAUUUCUAGUGUAGAGGUGAAAUUCGUAGAUAUUAGAAAGAACACCAAAUGCGAAGGCAACUUACUGGGUCACUACUGACACUGAGGAGCGAAAGCAUGGGUAGCGAAGAGGAUUAGAUACCCUCGUAGUCCAUGCCGUAAACGAUGUGUGCUAGACGUUGGAAAUAUAUUUUUCAGUGUCGCAGCGAAAGCAUUAAGCACACCGCCUGGGGAGUACGACCGCAAGGUUAAAACUCAAAUGAAUUGACGGGGACCCGCACAAGCAGUGGAGCAUGUGGUUUAAUUCGAAGAUACGCGCAGAACCUUACCAACACUUGACAUGUUCGUCGCGAGCCUAAGAGA